CGCCCCGGCUUAAAAGUUCAAAUACCAAGCGACAGAUGGGGACUUUGCUCCGGAUGUUAGCGGCGGACCGGUGAGUUACACGUGGGUAACCUGCCUGUAAGACUGGGAUAACUCCGGGAAACCGCACUAAUACAGGAUAGUUCCUUGAACCGCAUGGUUCAAGGAUGAAGACGGUUUCGGCUGUCACUUACUAUGGACCCCCGGCGCAUUAGCUAGUUGGUGGGGUAAUGGCUCACCAAGUGACGAUGCGUAGCCUACCUGAGAGGGUGAUCGGCCACACUGGGACUGAGACACGGCCCCACUCCUAUGGAGGCAGAGUAGGGAAUUUCCCAUGUACGACGUCUGACUGAGCACACCCGUGAUGAUGAAGGUUCCAUCUAAGCCUGUUUU
rnacentral:rRNA from 1 species